rnacentral:tRNA from 1 species
UGUGGCUUAGUUGAUUACAGCGCCAAUCUUGUGAAUUCGGAGUCGUGGGUUCACAUCCCAUCA